rnacentral:rRNA from 1 species
GGGGGGACGCAGUAGGAUAGGCGAAGCGUACGAUUGGAUUGUACGUCUAAGCAGUGAGACUGAGUGUUAGGCAAAUCCGGCACUCAUAAGGUCAAGCUGUGAUGGGGAGAGGAAAUUGUUUCCUCGAGUCGUUGAUUUCACACUGCCAAGAAAAGCCUCUAGAUAGAUAACAGGUGCCCGUACCGCAAACCGACACAGGUAGUCAAGAUGAGAAUUCUAAGGUGAGCGAGCGAACUCUCGUUAAGGAACUCGGCAAAAUGACCCCGUAACUUCGGGAGAAGGGGUGCUCUUUAGGGUGCAAGCCCAGAAGAGCCGCAGUGAAUAGGCCCAAGCGACUGUUUAUCAAAAACACAGGUCUCUGCUAAACCGUAAGGUGAUGUAUAGGGGCUGACGCCUGCCCGGUGCUGGAAGGUUAAGAGGAGUGGUUAGCUUCUGCGAAGCUACGAAUCGAAGCCCCAGUAAACGGCGGCCGUAACUAUAACGGUCCUAAGGUAGCGAAAUUCCUUGUCGGGUAAGUUCCGACCCGCACGAAAGGCGUAACGAUUUGGGCACUGUCUCAACGAGAGACUCGGUGAAAUCAUAGUACCUGUGAAGAUGCAGGUUACCCGCGACAGGACGGAAAGACCCCGUGGAGCUUUACUGUAGCCUGAUAUUGAAAUUCGGCACAGCUUGUACAGGAUAGGUAGGAGCCAUUGAAACGUGAGCGCUAGCUUACGUGGAGGCGCUGGUGGGAUACUACCCUAGCUGUGUUGGCUUUCUAACCCGCACCACUUAUCGUGGUGGGAGACAGUGUCAGGCGGGCAGUUUGACUGGGGCGGUCGCCUCCUAAAAGGUAACGGAGGCGCUCAAAGGUUCCCUCAGAAUGGUUGGAAAUCAUUCAUAGAGUGUAAAGGCAUAAGGGAGCUUGACUGCGAGACCUACAAGUCGAGCAGGGUCGAAAGACGGACUUAGUGAUCCGGUGGUUCCGCAUGGAAGGGCCAUCGCUCAACGGAUAAAAGCUACCCCGGGGAUAACAGGCUUAUCUCCCCCAAGAGUUCACAUCGACGGGGAGGUUUGGCACCUCGAUGUCGGCUCAUCGCAUCCUGGGGCUGUAGUCGGUCCCAAGGGUUGGGCUGUUCGCCCAUUAAAGCGGUACGCGAGCUGGGUUCAGAACGUCGUGAGACAGUUCGGUCCCUAUCCGUCGUGGGCGUAGGAAAUUUGAGAGGAGCUGUCCUUAGUACGAGAGGACCGGGAUGGACAUACCUCUGGUGUACCAGUUGUCGUGCCAACGGCAUAGCUGGGUAGCUAUGUAUGGACGGGAUAAGUGCUGAAAGCAUCUAAGCAUGAAGCCCCCCUCAAGAUGAGAUUUCCCAACUUCGGUUAUAAGAUCCCUCAAAGAUGAUGAGGUUAAUAGGUUCGAGGUGGAAGCGUGGCGACACGUGGAGCUGACGAAUACUAAUCGAUCGAAGACUUAAUCAAA